GAGAACCUCCAGGGUGUCUCGCUGAAUGUCAGACGAUCCCCGCCCACGUUGAAGGAAAAGUUCAAGGGCUAUGAGAAGUGGAGACAGAGCAAACUGACUCCUGUGGGAGGCCAGGACAUGACUUCUGGGGUGGCAGCAGCCAGCUUGUGACCAUGAGACUUCAAACAUAAAAAUGAAAACCAAUAAGCUACGAAUGUUCAAGAAGAAGGAUGAUAAUUCUGGGUUCCUGAUGGCAUUGCUGAGACUUGAACUACCACUCCAGUCACCUACUAAAAGGGAAGAACAAUAGAACCAAAGAACUGAAUUCCAGAAAGAAAGCAGCUCUUCAUGGGAGAGCAGGAGUGGUGACGGCUUCCAUACCUGGCGGAGGUUCCGGUCUGUGACUAGGUGGAGAGAGGGACAUCAGCCAUAGAUGGAGAAACUCUACAGGGACAAAGAAAAACCGUCCUAGACUUGGACCAGAGCAUGGGACGGCAGGUCAGGUUUGGGUCUGGAUGUAUCCUGAGUGAAAGAAGACAUCACUCAUCCCAGCAAGGUGGGCGAGGCACCUUCUCAAUGAAAGAAAAGAUCGUCUGGUCCAGCAAUUCAUCCUCCCCGCCUGUCCUACCUAAACUUUUCUGAAAGACAGUGGUCGAGGAAAGGUACAUAAGGAGAGAAAAAUCACAUAGUUUUGUGCAUUCUCACAGUGACUGGAAUGCAGGUAAACCAAAAAUAUCUGAAACUGCAGCCAACCCCCUCCUAGCUCAAAUCCUGACAAGAGAAAAAGGCAGAGGAUGUUGGUGGUUGGGCUAAUUACAGGUAACUAAGAAUAAUUGAAGCUGUUUCUCAGUCCCAGCUCAAUUAUACUCUAAGAAAAAUCUGGAUGAGCAGCCUCUCAAUCCAGCCAUUAGACAGAAAAAAAGGGUUUAGACCUU